rnacentral:rRNA from 1 species
CACCGCGGUUAUACGAGAGGCCCAAGCUGAUAGACACCGGCGUAAAGCGUGGUUAAGAGAAUUCAAAUAAUUAAAGCCGAAUGUUUUCAGAGCUGUUAUACGCAUACGAAAACUAGAAGCCCAACUACGAAGGUGGCUUUACAGUUUCUGACCCCACGAAAGCUAAGGCA